UUGUCCCGGUUUAAGCGUGUAGGCUGGUUUUCCAGGCAAAUCCGGAAAAUCAAGGCUGAGGCGUGAUGACGAGGCACUACGGUGCUGAAGCAACAAAUGCCCUGCUUCCAGGAAAAGCCUCUAAGCAUCAGGUAACAUCAAAUCGUACCCCAAACCGACACAGGUGGUCAGGUAGAGAAUACCAAGGCGCUUGAGAGAACUCGGGUGAAGGAACUAGGCAAAAUGGUGCCGUAACUUCGGGAGAAGGCACGCUGAUAUGUAGGUGAAGUCCCUCGCGGAUGGAGCUGAAAUCAGUCGAAGAUACCAGCUGGCUGCAACUGUUUAUUAAAAACACAGCACUGUGCAAACACGAAAGUGGACGUAUACGGUGUGACGCCUGCCCGGUGCCGGAAGGUUAAUUGAUGGGGUCAGCGCAAGCGAAGCUCUUGAUCGAAGCCCCGGUAAACGGCGGCCGUAACUAUAACGGUCCUAAGGUAGCGAAAUUCCUUGUCGGGUAAGUUCCGACCUGCACGAAUGGCGUAAUGAUGGCCAGGCUGUCUCCACCCGAGACUCAGUGAAAUUGAACUCGCUGUGAAGAUGCAGUGUACCCGCGGCAAGACGGAAAGACCCCGUGAACCUUUACUAUAGCUUGACACUGAACAUUGAGCCUUGAUGUGUAGGAUAGGUGGGAGGCUUAGAAGUGUGGACGCCAGUCUGCAUGGAGCCGACCUUGAAAUACCACCCUUUAAUGUUUGAUGUUCUAACGUUGACCCGUAAUCCGGGUUGCGGACAGUGUCUGGUGGGUAGUUUGACUGGGGCGGUCUCCUCCUAAAGAGUAACGGAGGAGCACGAAGGUUGGCUAAUCCUGGUCGGACAUCAGGAGGUUAGUGCAAUGGCAUAAGCCAGCUUGACUGCGAGCGUGACGGCGCGAGCAGGUGCGAAAGCAGGUCAUAGUGAUCCGGUGGUUCUGAAUGGAAGGGCCAUCGCUCAACGGAUAAAAGGUACUCCGGGGAUAACAGGCUGAUACCGCCCAAGAGUUCAUAUCGACGGCGGUGUUUGGCACCUCGAUGUCGGCUCAUCACAUCCUGGGGCUGAAGUAGGUCCCAAGGGUAUGGCUGUUCGCCAUUUAAAGUGGUACGCGAGCUGGGUUUAGAACGUCGUGAGACAGUUCGGUCCCUAUCUGCCGUGGGCGCUGGAGAACUGAGGGGGGCUGCUCCUAGUACGAGAGGACCGGAGUGGACGCAUCACUGGUGUUCGGGUUGUCAUGCCAAUGGCACUGCCCGGUAGCUAAAUGCGGAAGAGAUAAGUGCUGAAAGCAUCUAAGCACGAAACUUGCC
rnacentral:rRNA from 1 species